rnacentral:rRNA from 1 species
AGUGAACGCUGGCGGUAGGCCUAAUACAUGCAAGUCGAACGGACGCAUAGUAAGCUUUCGCCUCUACCGGUGGCGGCUGGCGGAUGGGUGAGGCAUAGAUCGCCUUCCUCUUUUUCGUGGGUGACUUCGUAGGGCCACUUCUGAUACUACCGCAUAUGUUCUACGGCUUGGAUCAGUGGUUAUUCGGACUUUUCCUGUCUCUUUGAGACGAUGCCGGAUUGGCUAGUUGGCGGGGUAAAGGCCCAGCAUGGCGACGCUCCGUAGCUGGUCUGAGCGGAGGAUCAGCCACACUGGAACUGGGACACGGUCCAGACUCCUACGGGAGGCAACAGUGGGGAAUAUUGGAGAAAGGGCGCAAGCCUGAACCAGCCAUACCGCGUUGGUGAAGGAGGGCUUCGGGUUGGAAAGCCCUUUUGUUGGGAAAGAAAAGCAGCAGGUAAAAACCCCGCUGGUCUGACGGUACCCAAAGAAUAAGCACCGGCUAACUUCGUG